GGGGGGGGGGGGGCGAAAGCGGGAGAAGAAGGGGGCGGCAAAGACGAGAGAGAGCAAGUUAAAUUUUUGGCUCCUGCAAGUAUUAACAUUUCUGCUGCCUAGUAACGCUUUCUGCAACCCAUCAAUUUCUCAUCAUGCAGAAUGAUAUACGGACUGCAAUGAAUGAACUUAACUCAAGUAUGACCAUCAUAUUCUUGUCCGUUUAGGACCUGAACAAUUUCUAGACGACGCCCUGGGUGCACACAACGAGUUCCGUCUGGUUCAUGGCGUCUUACCAAUGAGUAAUGACAAGAAUUUGAACGCUGGAGCACAAAAGCAUGCUGACAACUUAGCAAGGCAAUCCACCAACGAUGUCGCUAUUUCUAACAAUCUGGGUGAAAGUAUUUACACAAGUUGUAACAGUGUAGUUACAGGGCGGUCUGUUACUGAAGCUUGGUAAGAGACAAUUACAGUUUAACUAUGGUUUGAUUGUUACUGACAUAGUGGUCAUUACACGAGGCUUUCAUUUAUGCGACUGCGGUUCGACUGCAUUUUUUUGUAGAUGCGGUUCGCUGCACGAUGGCAAAGAGUUGUUUAAAAUGGCCCCUGAGUUGCAUGUAAGAAUGCUUCCAGUUAGACCCUUACUGCCACUGGAUUUCCAACUAAGUACAAAAUCAAUUUAGUUUACAUUUCCACUUGAAGUAACACUGGGCAAAUAAUGGACGGUUCGUACUGGACCUCUAGAGAGAACUGUUUUGAACUGAUAAAGAUAUCCAG